AGUGAACGCUGGCGGUAGGCCUAACACAUGCAAGUCGAACGGCAGCACAGUAAGAGCUUGCUCUUACGGGUGGCGAGUGGCGGACGGGUGAGGAAUACAUCGGAAUCUACUUUUUCGUGGGGGAUAACGUAGGGAAACUUACGCUAAUACCGCAUACGACCUACGGGUGAAAGCAGGGGAUCUUCGGACCUUGCGCGAUUGAAUGAGCCGAUGUCGGAUUAGCUAGUUGGCGGGGUAAAGGCCCACCAAGGCGACGAUCCGUAUCUGGUCUGAGAGGAUGAUCAGACACACUGGAACUGAGACACGGUCCAGACUCCGACGGGAGGCAGCAGUGGGGAAUAUUGGACAAUGGGCGCAAGCCUGAUCCAGCCAUACCGCGUGGGUGAAGAAGGCCUUCGGGUUGUAAAGCCCUUUUGUUGGGAAAGAAAAGCAGCAGGUUAAUACCCCGCUGUUCUGACGGUACCCAAAGAAUAAGCACCGGCUAACUUCGUG
rnacentral:rRNA from 1 species